ACCGGUUUCCAAGCCAGUCCUAAUGCUGCCAAGAGUAUCGGAGCCGAUUACGUAGUCCUUGGCAGAUUGUGGAUAUGUUUUCAACAAAGUUUCCACAAGUUUACGAUUGGUGGUUUCCUCCUCGCAACCGCUUAAAAUUAUUCUGUAUAUGUAGACUCCGUAACCUGUUACAUAAUCAAUAAUGGUUUAUUCAAUAACUCGAUUAUUUUCUUAACAAACGAAGAUACACAUCGACAUAGCCACUCAGCGAGAGAUAUACAUGACUCGGCUUAAUGAACCCUGAUUGCUGUUAUCAAUGCGAGAAAUGUCUCUCUUUUUUCUUUUUCACAACUACAAAACUGAUUCAAUAUCCGGAAUAAACAAAUUAUUAAAUGUUAUAACAUAUAAAACUAAAAGAUAAAUUAAAAUAUCUAUGUCUCGAGAAAGAGAGAAAAAAUGACAUAUGUGAUCGUUCAUUUUUAUUCAAAAUCAUUAAAUUAAAGCCACUUUAGAUUCAGAAAUAUUAUCGCGCGAUGUAGAGAGAUAUACAAUGUACUUCAUGUUUUUUUUUUAAUUUUGAUUCAUAUACAGUUGAUUAAUUUCGCUUCUUUUUUACAAUUUGUAGACUGUCAACUAUAACGUAUCAUGAAACAUUUAUUGCAUCUCAUUUACUAUUAAAAACCCGAAAAA